CCACCCCCUUCUCUCUGCUGAUCCCCGCGACCUGCGUUUUCCUGGGGGUCCGGAACUCUGGACCCAAAGCGUCGGCCACCCCCUCAGGACAACUGGUAUCUCAUCAGAGCACUCUCUUGCCCAUGUCCACCCAUAAGCAGAUGGCCUCCCGCACCCGCCCCCCACCCUGGAGGAUUUCUUAAUGGGGUGAAAAUGCCAGUCCCCGAAGCCCGGGCUCCCGGACCCCCAGGGCCGAGCUGGGCGCGGGAGCCCCGCAGGGGCGGAGAGGCCGGCUGAGCUUGAAGAAGUGGAGGAGAGAUCAGCACAAGUUAAGUGGGGCGUCCCCAUCCCGUCUUCCUGCUCACCCUCCUUUGCCCCCAACUCCAUCUCUGCGACACCCUGCCCCCCCAAAAGAAGUCACUCCAGGGCUCUGUCUGCAGAGAGCCAGGGUGAGUGCGGGCAAGGCGAGAGAGAGAGCGACCUCGGUCGUGGGCAAGUAGCUUGUUUUUACGUCCUUCAAUAAAAUUUUUAUGAGGAUCA